UCGACUCAGUGCAGAGGGCGUUGACGCAGCAAAAGCCCGCCACACAGUGUUUAUAAGGAACACCUGCCGAAACAAGCCAGACCUCACUCACGCUCGCUUGUCGAAGCUCGUGUCAGUGCAGACUUCGUGUUCGUGCCUUGCCUUCCUUGCCGAUUAUGGAGCAGAGACGCAAAUCAUCCGCCGUGUGGGACCAUUUUGAUGUCCCGGAGAAUAAGGUGAAAUGUCGAAUUUGCCGGGUCGAAUUGUCAUACACCAACAGAAGCACCUCCACCAUGCUGAGGCAUUAUCGGGCCAAGCAUGAGAAUGAAGUUCGCGAUACACCCGGUAUUACGCCAGGUUCCAGGAAGCAGCUGUACUGGAAGGACCAACACACUUCUUUCCCAAACCUCUCCCACCUCGCAAAGGAGUUCCUUUGUACGCCAGCCACAUCCGUCCCUUGUGAGCGUGUGUUCUCCACAGCAGGAGAAAUCGCUUGUAAAAGACGCAACAGGCUGAAGUUUAAAACAUUGGAGCAUCUUAUUUUUCUCAAUAAAAAUGUGAAAUCAAAGCCCACAAGCAUCCUCAUUCAAAUGAUCUUCACAUUAUUUGAACACAUUGAAUGUUGCAAAAUGAAUGCAUGGAUGUGAAUGAUAUUGUAUACACUUCAUCAAAUCGAUGAAUGACCUUAUGAAAAUGUCUUGGAACAGUUGUAGAUGCAAAACCGUGCUGGCAGCUACAUAAUAAAGAAAAAUAUCCCAAACCAUAGGGAUCCUCCCAAAACUAAGGAUGUGCUGAAUAAGAAAUCCUUGUACACACUUUUAUUACUUCCAUAUUUGACCUAUUGUGUGGAAAUAUGGGGAAAUGCCAGUAAAACACUGUUUUAAAACUACAAUACAAAGCAAUCAGAGCAAUCACUGGCUCCAAAUAGACGGAACCCACAAAUCCACUGUUUAUCAAAUUAAUGAAAUCUCAUGACCUGGUUGACUUCAAAAUCGCCCAAUUAAUGUACAAAGCACACAAUAACCUCCUUUGCCAAAACAUCCAGAAGCUUUUUAAAAUUCGAGAAAGUUGUCAUAAUUUAAGGGGUACUAACCUAUACAGAAAAAUCCAAAACACGAACAAACAUCACGCAAAGGAGUGUAUCUGUAAUAGGUGUAAAUCUGUGGAAUGAUUCUGAAACGGACCAGUAAAAUGAGUAACUCUCUUGCUGAGAUUAAAAAUGAAUUUGAGAGUAGUACAAGACAACUACACAAAUCAGAAUUAAGCUAAUAAAUUCGAUACACCCAUGAAAUAUAGCAAUACAUCAGGAAUACAUUGAUGAGAUUAUUUAAUAUAUUAAUGAAAUGUAGCAUCCAUUAUGAA